UACGAAGGGGGCUAGCGUUGCUCGGAAUCACUGGGCGUAAAGGGUGCGUAGGCGGGUCUUUAAGUCAGGGGUGAAAUCCUGGAGCUCAACUCCAGAACUGCCUUUGAUACUGAAGAUCUUGAGUUCGGGAGAGGUGAGUGGAACUGCGAGUGUAGAGGUGAAAUUCGUAGAUAUUCGCAAGAACACCAGUGGCGAAGGCAGCUCACUGGGACGGUACUGACGCUGAGGCGCGAAAGCGUGGGGAGCGAACGGG
rnacentral:rRNA from 1 species